AAGCACUGAGGGGAGCCUGGGCUCCCCUCAAAUUUUGUUGCGUGUGCUCUUUUUAUUAUUGGAGGGUGGUCUAUUGUUGUUUUUGGCGACCCUUGCCUCUUGUUGCGUUGCGAUCCCCAUCCGGGAUCAAGAGCAAACGUAUUUUUUUGAGCGCUGAUCGACCUUUAUCAUUGCUGAUCCAACCGAGACGGGCGCUACCUUGGGGUAGUU
rnacentral:sRNA from 2 species